rnacentral:rRNA from 1 species
CCUACGGGAGGCAGCAGUGAGGAAUAUUGGUCAAUGGGCGCUAGCCUGAACCAGCCAAGUCGCGUGAAGGAUGACUGCCCUCUGGGUUGUAAACUUCUUUUAUAUGGGAAUAAAGUGCAGUAUGUAUACUGCUUUGCAUGUACCUUAUGAAUAAGGAUCGGCGAACUCCGUGCCAGCAGCCGCGGUAAUACGGAGGAUUCGAGCGUUAUCCGGAUGUAUUGGGGUUAAAGGGAGCGUAGGCGGGUUGUUAAGUCAGUUGUGAAAGUUUGUGGCUCAACGGUAAAAUUGCAGUUGAUACUGGCAUCCUUGAGUGUAGGAGAGGAGGGCGGAAUUCGUGGUGUAGCGGUGAAAUGCUUAGAUAUCACGAAGAACUCCGAUGGCGAAGGCAGCCUGCUGGACUGUAACUGACGCUGAGGCGCGAAAGUGUGGGUAUCAAACAGGAUUAGAUACCCCUGUAGUC